GCAUAUCAAUAAGCGGAGGAAAAGAAACCAACAGGGAUUGCCCCAGUAACGGCGAGUGAAGCGGCAACAGCUCAAAUUUGAAAUCUGGCCCCCAGGGCCCGAGUUGUAAUUUGUAGAGGAUGCUUUUGGCGCGGUGCCUUCCGAGUUCCCUGGAACGGGACGCCAUAGAGGGUGAGAGCCCCGUCUGGUUGGACACCUAGCCUCUGUAAAGCUCCUUCGACGAGUCGAGUAGUUUGGGAAUGCUGCUCUAAAUGGGAGGUAUAUGUCUUCUAAAGCUAAAUACCGGCCAGAGACCGAUAGCGCACAAGUAGAGUGAUCGAAAGAUGAAAAGCACUUUGAAAAGAGGGUUAAAUAGUACGUGAAAUUGUUGAAAGGGAAGCGUUUGUGACCAGACUUGGGCCCGGUUGAUCAUCCACCGUUCUCGGUGGUGCACUCUGCCGGCCCAGGCCAGCAUCAGUUCGCGCCGGGGGAUAAAGGCUUCGGGAAUGUGGCUCCUCCGGGAGUGUUAUAGCCCGUUGUGUAAUACCCUGGUGCGGACUGAGGUUCGCGCUCCGCAAGGAUGCUGGCGUAAUGGUCAUCAGCGACCCGUCUUGAAACACGGACCAAGGAGUCGUCUUCGUAUGCGAGUGUUCGGGUGUCAAACCCCUACGCGUAAUGAAAGUGAACGCAGGUGAGAGCUUCGGCGCAUCAUCGACCGAUCCUGAUGUUCUCGGAUGGAUUUGAGUAAGAGCAUACGGGGCCGGACCCGAAAGAAGGUGAACUAUGCCUGUAUAGGGUGAAGCCAGAGGAAACUCUGGUGGAGGCUCGCAGCGGUUCUGACGUGCAAAUCGAUCGUCAAAUAUGGGCAUGGGGGCGAAAGACUAAUCGAACCUUCUAGUAGCUGGUUUCCGCA
rnacentral:rRNA from 2 species